AGGAAAGGCAGUGCCUAAGCUUGCCCAUCUGGGCAGAGGGAUCCUCCUGAUCCUGUCAUCUCUGAGUCAUUCCAUUAAAAUAAAAGGAAGACCUUCUCUGCAGUAAGAAAAGUUGUUGCCUUUUAAGGAAAGCAAUCUGAAGGUGAAAACUGGAUACCUCAAACUGAAAGAAAAUUAGAACUUCAAUAAAGAAAUCUUCACGUGUGCAAAUGUCUGGUACAUGCAAACAUCCAGGAGACGGAAACAAGGAGAAGGUAGAAAAGAUUUCUGGCUUGUUGCCAUAGACAUAAGGUUAUUUUGCUACUCAGUCUAAUGCUGACAGAGAAGUAUGUCAAGAAGAUGUGGAUCCUGUUCUGUUUUAAAGACAGAAUUAUUCAUGUAUUUCAGAAUUACAAUUCAUGAUUACAGAGUUCCUUGUAUUCAGGGAGAUAAUUUUAUGUGACUCCUUGAAAUCCCUUCACUUCCUAUUACCUGCAACAUAAAUUCCACCAGUGCAGAUAGCCUGUUUUGUCUGUAUUGCCACUACAUCUUCUGCCCUAAAAAAAAAACACUUUGCACACAAAAAUAAUAAAUACUGAUUAACAGUCA